CCUACGGGAGGCAGCAGUGGGGAAUAUUGCACAAUGGGGGAAACCCUGAUGCAGCGACGCCGCGUGAGUGAAGAAGUAUCUCGGUACGUAAAGCUCUAUCAGCAGGAAAGAAAAUGACGGUACCUGACUAAGAAGCCCCGGCUAACUACGUGCCAGCAGCCGCGGUAAUACGUAGGGGGCAAGCGUUAUCCGGAUAUACUGGGGGUAAAGGGAGCGUAGACGGCGCAGCACGUCCGGAGUGAAAGCCCAUGGCUUAACCAUGGUACUGCUCUGGAAACUGUAGAGCUUGAGUGCGGGAGGGGGAGGCGGAAUGCCUGGUGUAGCGGUGAAAUGCGUAGAUAUUAGGAGGAACACCGGCGGCGAAGGCGGCCGGCUGGACCGUAACUGACGUUGAGGCUCGAAAGCGUGGGGAGCAAACAGGAGUAGAUACCCCUGUAGUC
rnacentral:rRNA from 1 species